UACGUAGGGCGCAAGCGUUGUCCGGAAUUAUUGGGCGUAAAGAGCUCGUAGGCGGUCUGUCGCGUCUGUUGUGAAAACUCGAGGCUCAACCUCGGGCUUGCAGUGGAUACGGGCAGACUAGAGUGCGGUAGGGGAGACUGGAAUUCCUGGUGUAGCGGUGGAAUGCGCAGAUAUCAGGAGGAACACCGAUGGCGAAGGCAGGUCUCUGGACCGGAACUGACGCUGAGGCGCGAAAGCGUGGGGAGCAAACGGG
rnacentral:rRNA from 1 species